UCGGAUCGGAGUCUGCAACCCGACUCCGUGAAGCUGGAUUCGCUAGUAAUCGCGCAUCAGCCAUGGCGCGGUGAAUACGUUCCCGGGCCUUGUACACACCGCCCGUCAAGCCAUGGAAGCCGGGGGCGCUUGAAGUGCGUUGCCGCAAGGCGCGCCCUAGAGCGAAACCGGUGACUGGGGCUAAGUCGUAACAAGGUAUC
rnacentral:rRNA from 1 species